CCCGGCCUCGGUGUCUGUCCUGGUCUCUGUCCCGGCCUCGGUCUCGGUCUCGGUCUCGGUCUCUGUCCCGGCCCCCCCUGCCCCCCCGGUGGAUCAUGUCCGGGUCCAGGCUGCUGCUGCUGCUGCUGACACUGGUCUGCGAUGCUCAGUACUACGACGGCGUCACGCUGCCUCCGGACUAUGACUCCGACUACAACGCGACCUUCGAGUACAGCUUCUACAGUAACACAAGCAGCGACGACCUCGACCGCUUCAGCGAACGCUUCAU